CAUCAGCAAUCUCAUCGUCGUCGUCAUCAACAUCAUCAUCGUCUUCGUCUCCAUCUUUCACAUCCUCAACAACAACAUCGUUCUCCUUCUGCUCCAUAACACAAACCAAAUCAAAAUCGAACAAAAAUCGAUUCUCUUAAAAAACAAAUAGAGAAGA
rnacentral:sRNA from 1 species